CCUACGGGAGGCAGCAGCAAGGAAUAUUGUGCAAUGGGCGAAAGCCUGACACAGCGACGCCGCGUGAGGGAUGAAGGCCCUUGGGUUGUAAACCUCUUUUCUCAGGGAAGAAUAAUGACGGUACCUGAGGAAUAAGUCACGGCUAACUACGUGCCAGCAGCCGCGGUAAUACGUAGGUGGCGAGCGUUAUCCGGAUUUAUUGGGCGUAAAGAGGGCGUAGGCGGCCUUUCAAGUCGGAUGUAAAAUCUCCCGGCUCAACUGGGAGGGACCAUGCGAUACUGUUAGGCUAGAGGGCAGCAGAGGGAGGUGGAAUUCCCGGUGUAGUGGUGAAAUGCGUAGAUAUCGGGAGGAACACCAGUGGCGAAGGCGGCCUCCUGGGCUGCUACUGACGCUGAGGCCCGUAAGCGUGGGGAGCAAACAGGAUUAGAUACCCUAGUAGUCC
rnacentral:rRNA from 1 species